UCUGUAGGGAAUAUCGGGCCCGGUCAGCGGUGUUGCGAAGUUUCCUCCUUAAUUGAACGCCCUGUAUGAAGAAUAUUAAUUUGACUCGAAUUAGAAUUCCCUACAGGAUUUGCUUGGUUCUUUGCCUCUGUGCAACAGACUCGGGUAGUUAUUCCUUCUCCUCCUGUGGGAUUUUAAUUCUAUAACUUUCUAUUUUUAUUACCGCACGCAGCUCUGAACAAAACAAAAAAUUACACAUAAAUACAGAGCAUUUAUUAAAGUGGAUGUAACAGUUUGUAGAAAGCCCCUUAAGAAGCAUUCAGGCUGUGUCACAUUUGUCGGAAACAACCGGAGGCUGGCUCCGAGUAUUAACUAGAGAAGUCGGAAGGAAACGUGACGGCGAGUGAGUGACGGUUUGUCCAGCAGAGGAAGAGUGAAACAGAGUUAUAAGGUUACCGUGUUGCGAGAUUCACUCCAUUCGAAUUUUCAAUUCAGUGUAAUACUAACUAUAUCGCGCUACCGGAUUUUAUUAUUAAUAUCAAUAGAUAUUUUAAUUACUCUCAUCGCAUUGUCUAAUUAGAUUUUCUUUAGAUAAUAAUGCGUUUCACUGUCUUAAGUCCAACACCACAACUUUGUUCACCCACGGUAGGAAAUAUCCAGUACAGACAGAAAAGCCUGAUUGAUGUUGCCUGAUUUAAGCUCUCAUCAAGCGUCAGUCGAUGAUAAGGCGCAGUUGUCAUCCGCCAUCUUGCUUGAUUUUUAAUAUAGAUGUACAAAUAUUAAGGUUCUUGGUAAUUAGAUGUUAAUAGUGCAUUUUCUUGUGAGAGUUUCUCUGACGUAUUUGCUUAAGGAUUCUACAGUCUUAGGUACAAAUUUAAUUUCACAACUAUUUACAUAUGGCAAAUUUUUCUUCUUCUCUGCUAACGGAAAAAUAGGUUUCUACUUUUACGGAAAUUCAGAUAUGUAAGAUUUGGGGUUUUCACUGAGGUGACUAUGAAGAAUGCCGUCUUCUGAGAUGUGGCGCUGUGUAGAUAUUGUGUAAACUGACGUUUCGGAGGAAAAUAUCGCCUCCAUCUUCAGGGUAUAAAAAUUCGCGACCGAGGGACCAGCUUGAGUAUGUGGCUGCAGCCACAUAAGACCUACACGGCGCCUCAUCCCAGAAGAUGGCAUUCUUCAAUUCAAGUGUAGUUCCUUUUCAAAACCUCUCACCGAGAAAGAAAUGCAUCUGCUCAUUGCUCAUGCAAAUGAGCGUGUAAAUUCGUCUUAGGAAUGCGUGAACAUUUCCAAACUGCCGAACUUAUAUUUCCCUAUGUCAGUUAAUAGCAAAGAUGCUAGAUUAUAACAGACCGUAGGAAAACGGUCUGAAAGUGCUGUAUUUUAAUGCAUUACAAACAAAUUUUAAUACAUUCCAAAUUCUUUAGUUAUAUAUUCAAAUAAAUGUUAAUUUGUUAACCCAAUAACUGUUAUUUAUUCAGUUGUACUAAAUUAGUUUAAUUUUCUUCAUGUUUCAGUGCAUACCUUCUCCUGGGGAAAUCCUGUAGCAUAUUUAUCACCGACUUAAAACAAAACUCGUGGCCACAGAGGACCUUUCAAACAUCCAUCCAACCAACCCACUUGCCAACACGCGUUUGUUUUGUGCCAUCCACUUGGUCUAGUCCUGGCCCCAGGGCACAUGAGGAUUGGAAGCGGUCAUUCCGAAACCCCAGACCAAGCGCGAUGCCUCUUCAGUGCGCAGGUCUCAGGACAGAUGACUGCCGUGGCUUGCUGCCCUGCUAUGACCGGCUCGAUGUGUUUUCCUUCCCGCCAACUGAAACCACGGGUCCCGCUCCACACAGUUCCUGCACUGCAUUCGCUACGUGGCUACGUGUCCCCUAAUCGGCCAUCAUCAAGUGCCUUGAAAUUCGGGGGUCACGAACAUGGACUGCAGCUCAGCAGACACUGCUUUCAGGACACAUGUUGACUGGGACGUUUUUGUUG